GCGAUCGUAGCUCAAUUGGUUAGAGCGUCGGUUUGUGGAACCGAAGGUUGCGGGUUCAAGCCCCGUCGUUCGCCCCA
rnacentral:tRNA from 1 species